rnacentral:rRNA from 1 species
GUGCACCUGUCCAUACUUAUUAAACGACUCUCGACAACGGAUAUCUCGGCUCUCGCAUCGAUGAAGAACGAAAUGCGAUACUUGGUGUGAAUUGCAGAAUCCCGUGAACCAUCGAGUCUUUGAACGCAAGUUGCGCCCGAAGCCUUCGGGC